rnacentral:rRNA from 1 species
AGUGAACGCUGGCGGUAGGCCUAACACAUGCAAGUCGAACGGCAGCACAGUAAGAGCUUGCUCUUACGGGUGGCGAGUGGCGGACGGGUGAGGAAUACAUCGGAAUCUACUUUUUCGUGGGGGAUAACGUAGGGAAACUUACGCUAAUACCGCAUACGACCUACGGGUGAAAGCAGGGGAUCUUCGGACCUUGCGCGAUUGAAUGAGCCGAUGUCGGAUUAGCUAGUUGGCGGGGUAAAGGCCCACCAAGGCGACGAUCCGUAGCUGGUCUGAGAGGAUGAUCAGCCACACUGGAACUGAGACGCGGUCCAGACUCCUACGGGAGGCAGCAGUGGGGAAUAUUGGACAAAGGGCGCAAGCCUGAUCCAGCCAUACCGCGUGGGUGAAGAAGGCCUUCGGGUUGUAAAGCCCUUUUGUUGGGAAAGAAAAGCAGCAGGUUAAUACCCCGCUGUUCUGACGGUACCCAAAGAAUAAGCACCGGCUAACUUCGUG